UACCAGCACCCCGAGUGGUCGGGACGAUUAUUGGGCCUAAAGCAUCCGUAGCUUGUUCUGCAAGUCCUCCGUUAAAUCCAACUGCUUAACAGGUGGGCUGCGGAAGAUACUAUAGAGCUAGGAGGCGGGAGAGGCAAGCGGUACUCGAUGGGUAGGGGUAAAAUCCGUUGAUCCAUUGAAGACCACCAGUGGCGAAGGCGGCUUGCCAGAACGCGCUCGACGGUGAGGGAUGAAAGCUGGGGGAGCAAACCGG
rnacentral:rRNA from 1 species